UACGUAGGGUGCAAGCGUUAAUCGGAAUUACUGGGCGUAAAGCGUGCGCAGGCGGUUUUGUAAGUCUGACGUGAAAUCCCCGGGCUCAACCUGGGAAUUGCAUUGGAGACUGCAAGGCUAGAAUCUGGCAGAGGGGGGUAGAAUUCCACGUGUAGCAGUGAAAUGCGUAGAGAUGUGGAGGAACACCGAUGGCGAAGGCAGCCCCCUGGGUCAAGAUUGACGCCCAUGCACGAAAGCGUGGGGAGCAAACAGG
rnacentral:rRNA from 1 species